CCUACGGGCGGCUGCAGUGGGGAAUAUUGGACAAUGGGGGCAACCCUGAUCCAGCCAUGCCGCGUGUGUGAAGAAGGCCCUCGGGUUGUAAAGCACUUUCAGUGAGGAAGAACGCCUGGUGGUUAAUACCCAUCAGGAAAGACAUCACUCACAGAAGAAGCACCGGCUAACUCCGUGCCAGCAGCCGCGGUAAUACGGAGGGUGCGAGCGUUAAUCGGAAUUACUGGGCGUAAAGCGCGCGUAGGUGGCUUGAUAAGCCGGUUGUGAAAGCCCCGGGCUCAACCUGGGAACGGCAUCCGGAACUGUCAAGCUAGAGUGCAGGGGAGGAAGGUAGAAUUCCCGGUGUAGCGGUGAAAUGCGUAGAGAUCGGGAGGAAUACCAGUGGCGAAGGCGGCCUUCUGGACUGACACUGACACUGAGGUGCGAAAGCGUGGGUAGCAAACAGGAUUAGAUACCCCAGUAGUC
rnacentral:rRNA from 1 species